rnacentral:SRP_RNA from 1 species
GCCGGGCAUGUUGGCACAUGCCUGUAAUCCCAGCAACUAGGGAGGCUGAGGCAGGGGAAUCACUUGAACCCAGGAGGCAGAGGUUGAGGUGAGCAAGAUAGCACCACUGCACUCCAGCCUGGGUGACAGAGUGAGUCUCUGUCUCAA